GACGUAGGGCGCGAGCGUUGUCCGGAUUUAUUGGGCGUAAAGAGCUCGUAGGCGGCUUGUCGCGUCGACUGUGAAAACCCGUGGCUCAACCAUGUGGUCUGCAGUCGAUACGGGCAGGCUAGAAUUCGGUAGGGGAGACUGGAAUUCCUGGUGUAGCGGUGAAAUGCGCAGAUAUCAGGAGGAACACCGGUGGCGAAGGCGGAUCUCUGGGCCAUCACUGACGCUGAGCUGCGAAAGCUAGGGGAGCAAACAGG
rnacentral:rRNA from 1 species